GGUGGCUCAGUGGUAGAGUGCUUGCCUUGCAUGCAUGUGGCCUGGGGUUCGAUUACUCAGCACCA
rfam:Dipodomys ordii contig_60472, whole genome shotgun sequence.